UACGUAGGGUGCAAGCGUUGUCCGGAAUUAUUGGGCGUAAAGAGCUCGUAGGCGGUCUGUCGCGUCUGCCGUGAAAACCCGAGGCUUAACCUCGGGCUGGCGGUGGAUACGGGCAGACUAGAGGUAGGUAGGGGAGAAUGGAAUUCCCGGUGUAGCGGUGAAAUGCGCAGAUAUCGGGAGGAACACCGGUGGCGAAGGCGGUUCUCUGGGCCGUUACCUGACGCUGAGGAGCGAAAGCGUGGGGAGCGAACAGG
rnacentral:rRNA from 1 species